rnacentral:rRNA from 1 species
GCAGUCGAGGGGUAUAGGUUUUCGGACCUAGAGACCGGCGCACGGGUGCGUAACGCGUAUGCAAUCUACCUUUUACAGAGGGAUAGCCCAGAGAAAUUUGGAUUAAUACCUCAUAGUAUUAUUGAAUGGCAUCAUUUGAUAAUUAAAGUCACAACGGUAAAAGAUGAGCAUGCGUCCCAUUAGCUUGUUGGUAAGGUAACGGCUUACCAAGGCAACGAUGGGUAGGGGUCCUGAGAGGGAGAUCCCCCACACUGGUACUGAGACACGGACCAGACUCCUACGGGAGGCAGCAGUGAGGAAUAUUGGUCAAUGGGCGCAAGCCUGAACCAGCCAUGCCGCGUGCAGGAUGAAGCAUCUAUGGUGUGUAAACUGCUUUUGUACGAGAAGAAACACUCCUACGUGUAGGAGCUUGACGGUAUCGUAAGAAUAAGGACCGGCUAACUCCGUGCCAGCAGCCGCGGUAAUACGGAGGGUCCAAGCGUUAUCCGGAAUCAUUGGGUUUAAAGGGUCCGUAGGCGGUUUUGUAAGUCAGUGGUGAAAGCCCAUCGCUCAACGGUGGAACGGCCAUUGAUACUGCAAGACUUGAAUUAUUGGGAAGUAACUAGAAUAUGUAGUGUAGCGGUGAAAUGCUUAGAGAUUACAUGGAAUACCAAUUGCGAAGGCAGGUUACUACCAAUAUAUUGACGCUGAUGGACGAAAGCGUGGGGAGCGAACAGGAUUAGAUACCCUGGUAGUCCACGCCGUAAACGAUGGAUACUAGCUGUUCGGAGCAAUCUGAGUGGCUAAGCGAAAGUGAUAAGUAUCCCACCUGGGGAGUACGUUCGCAAGAAUGAAACUCAAAGGAAUUGACGGGGGCCCGCACAAGCGGUGGAGCAUGUGGUUUAAUUCGAUGA